rnacentral:pre_miRNA from 1 species
UCUUAUACAUGAGCAAAGAAAGUGGUUCUUGAGAUGGAAUCUAUUCCUGGUGAAGAUUUUACGAA